AAGUGAAACGCCGUAGCGCCGAUGGUAGUGUGGGGUCUCCCCAUGCGAGAGUAGGGAACUGCCAGGCAUCAAAUAAAACGAAGGGCCCUGUCGAAAGACAGGGCCUUUUGUUUUAUCUCUGUUUCUGCCGGAUGGCGGCUCCGCCUUAUCCGGCCUACAGGGACGCGCCGAUCUACCCUCAAUAUAACCACAAGCCUUCCCAAC
rnacentral:rRNA from 1 species